UACGUAGGGUGCGAGCGUUGUCCGGAAUUAUUGGGCGUAAAGAGCUCGUAGGCGGUUUGUCGCGUCGGCCGUGAAAACUUGGGGCUUAACCCCAAGCCUGCGGUCGAUACGGGCAGACUUGAGUUCGGCAGGGGAGACUGGAAUUCCUGGUGUAGCUGGUGGAAUGCGCAGAUAUCAGGAGGAACACCGGUGGCGAAGGCGGGUCUCUGGGCAGUAACUGACGCUGAGGAGCGAAAGCGUGGGGAGCGAACAGG
rnacentral:rRNA from 1 species